rnacentral:rRNA from 1 species
CCCUACGGGACGCAGCAGUAGGGAAUCUUCCACAAUGGGCGAAAGCCUGAUGGAGCAACGCCGCGUGGGUGAAGAAGGUCUUCGGAUCGUGAAACCCUGUUGUUAGAGAAGAAAGUGCGUGAGAGUAACUGUCCACGUUUCGACGGUAUCUAACCAGAAAGCCACGGCUAACUACGUGCCAGCAGCCGCGGUAAUACGUAGGUGGCAAGCGUUAUCCGGAUUUAUUGGGCGUAAAGGGAACGCAGGCGGUCUUUUAAGUCCGAUGUGAAAGCCUACGGCUUAACCGGAGUAGUGCAUUGGAAACU